GAUCAGGUCUUGGCCGGUUGCAUAUAUUGCGUCGACAGAAAUGCUAAUAUUGCACUCGCCCCGGCCUGAUC
rnacentral:pre_miRNA from 1 species